AACCAGGAGGAAAGCCAUUGCCCAGCCCAGUCCAAGCCCCUCUCGGUCCCUGGGUGGCCCCUCCACGCCCCGCCCUGCCCAGGGACCCACUGCCGGCUCUCCUGCCUGCUCUGGGCACAGUGCAGGGGUUAAGGAAACAGCCCCUUCAAAGGGCGAGGCGGAGGCUGGCGGGCUCCUGGCUGCCACCCCAGCCCCACCCCCAGCACCCACAGACGCCACAGGCCUGGCACUGGCCUCUGCCCAGCACCUUCCCCAGACCGGUCCACCUCCAGGCCAGCACUGUCCAGAGGGCUCGCAUCUCGGUGUCCACCCGUCCACACCUAAGAAGGCAGAGGGGACCCUGGCAGGUCCUGAUCUGGAGGACCAAGCGGAGAGGCCCUGGCUCCCUCAUCUAGGGGACAGGUCACCCUGGCUCUCCAAGCCACGUGGGGCCUACUCGCCUCAACCAGGACCCGGCCCUGUCAGCAGUCCUUGAGUCUGGGGCUGCUCCAUCAUGCCAGGGAUGGCUGCUCUAAUUUUGAGUGACCCAAGAGGAGGAGCAGGAAGACAGACGAAGGCUGGGAGGGAGAGGGCAGGUCAGAGAAGGGCACGGGGACAGGGGGCAAGUUGGAGACAACUGACUGCAGCCCCGGGAUAGCACUGGGAGCAGGAGCUGAGGACCUGGCGAGGGCCAUGCCAUUUGGGUUGAUUCAUAGGGUCCCAUGGUGCAGGGUACCCUGGGAAGCUUUGUGCAGGCCCAUCGCCCACUACUGCCUGAAGUCCUGGGUGGCCCCAGGUCUCAACCUCAUCCUCCCUGCCCACCUGGCCAGCCAUUCUCAUCAUGUGGGGAGGAAAAUUUGCUAUUCCAGGGGACCGACUUCUCCAGGGCACCUAGUGGGGAACGGCUCCCUCAAGGGAGGUGGUGGUCCAGGAGAUUUGGGGCAGUCUUUAUUAACCGAGGGGCAGGCCAGGUGCCCAGGCCUGGGGACACCAGAGGGACACUGGCCACACACACCAUCUGCAGGUCAGCAGACCCUGGCAGUUGGGGUGGCUGCAUGUGGGCAGUCAGGGUGGGUAAUCCUCUCCCCAAGGGCCUCGGGGGGCCUCUCCUAGCUCAGGAACAGCCUGUGGGACAAAUGGGCACCCAGGAUGGAAGGAGUUGGCUUCACUGUCUGCCUGUUACUGGCCUGGGUCUCCCAGGCCAGAGAAGCUGCCCCUUGUCCCCCUGCAGUGCUGGGAGCACCUGUACCACUUUCACCCCCGAGGUGGCCACUCAGGGGCAACGAGUCAGCAAGGCCACCAGCCAGGCAGCAGCACAGAAGACUUGGGCUCAAGUCCCCGCUCAGAGCUCAGGGCUCAUCAGCACAGCUGAUGAUGGGGGCUGGCAGCCGGGGCAGGCAUGGCACCUCUGACAUAGGGUGGGUACCCCCAGAAGUGAGCCCUGAACUGGGCUGCCUGUGGGCCAGGUGUGGGGGAAGCAGCUCGGGGAGGCCGCCCAGCUGCCAGUCCUGUCCAGUAGCUUCCACAGCUGUGGUCCUGAUGCGGCCCCCAAGCCCUGCAUCUUGGUGGUCCUGAGCCAUCAGGGACCUGCCUCACCUCCCCUCCUGAGUGGGUGGACAGUCAAUGCCGGGCUGAGCCCAGAAGAGGACCGUGUGGGCUCAGUUGGCCCCAGAGAGGGGUACCCAUGUGUGCCGGGGCUGCCAAGAAGGCUGGCCCAGCUGCGCCCAGCCCAAGUGGGGUGACCAGUGAUGUGAUCGGGAGGACUUGGCCACAGAGGGCCCCUGGUUGCUCCCAAGGGAGAGGAAGGACAUGGCAGGGGAGGAGGGGUCUGCACCCUUUCUCCAGAGCCUACUGAACCCCUAGUGGGCCCUCAGUGCCCCAACUGGGGGCCCAGUCAUGUUGGGGACGGGGGUACUGCUCUCUCGGCAGGUGGGCACAGCAGCUCAGGGAGGUGGAGAAUGGCCCAACACAAGUGCCCUGUCCCUGCCUCCUGGUCUCCUCCCCCGCCCUUCUCAGCAGCCAGAUGGGCCUGAAGGUGCCUUGGGACUGAGCAGGGCCUGCUCUCUCCCUGGGCUUCUGCCCCGGCUGGGAACCCUCCCUCCCUCCUGCCAACAUCCCACUCAGGCCCUGUGGAAUGGCUGAGGGGGUGGAGGCCCCAGGAGGAGGAGGAGGGGAGAUGGAGGCCCUAGGAGCAGAGGGCAGGGUGGUCUCAGUGGCCGAGGAGGCUUGGGCAGGAGGGGGGCUGCCUGGGUGGUACCUACUGGCCAUCUGGCUUGACUCCAGCCACGUCCUGCUUGGCCCCACCUUGGGCUUCAGGCCAGAGUGAAGCCUGUUCAGAGAAGUGACUCACAGGGCCGCAGCCACGGCUCUCACUGGCUGGACAGUCCACUGCAGGCUUCAAAAGGGACACUCAGGACCUGGGCUUCCCUCUGGCCUGGGGGGUUGCCAGGCCCCUGGGGGCCGUGUGGCAGCUGAGGCUGGAGCAGCCCAGUACCCAGGGCAAUGGGAGGUGGGACCUCAGGGUCCUGCUUCCUGCCUCCUGGAUGGUGAGGCCAAGGAGUCUCAGGUCAGAGAGCUGGCUUCACCCCCUCCUGCCCCCCACCUCCAGACCAGACACAGACAGCCAUGCCCUGACCAGCUGCUGCCCCAAACCUGGCAGUGGAAAGAAGAGACACAGGUCCUCUGCCAGGGGCUAGCGUCUCUUGCAGAGUCUCAGGCUGUGACUCAUGACCUGUGGUUGCUGCUGGGACCUCUGGUGGCUAAAGGCUGGGGUCCCUGUGAGACUCAGAAGCAGGUUAAAUAACUCCAGGUGCACAGCCGCUUGUGGUGGGGGGCCCUCAACACACCCCUACCCAUUGGCCUGCCAGGGAGGCCAAACAACCGUCUGCUGACCCCUGACCUAGCCUCUGAGUCCAUACGAGGAGGGGCUAAAGCCUUUGUGCCCUUGUGAA